rnacentral:rRNA from 1 species
UUAGGAUUGUAAAAUUCUUUCACCGGGGACGAUAAUGACGGUACCCGGAGAAGAAGCCCCGGCUAACUUCGUGCCAGCAGCCGCGGUAAUACGAAGGGGGCUAGCGUUGCUCGGAAUUACUGGGCGUAAAGGGAGCGUAGGCGGAUAGUUUAGUCAGAGGUGAAAGCCCAGGGCUCAACCUUGGAAUUGCCUUUGAUACUGGCUAUCUUGAGUAUGGAAGAGGUAUGUGGAACUCCGAGUGUAGAGGUGAAAUUCGUAGAUAUUCGGAAGAACACCAGUGGCGAAGGCGACAUACUGGUCCAUUACUGACGCUGAGGCUCGAAAGCGUGGGGAGCAAACAGGAUUAGAUACCCUGGUAGUCCAAGGGCGAAU